rnacentral:rRNA from 1 species
CCGCGGUAAUACGGAGGGUGCAAGCGUUACUCGGAAUCACUGGGCGUAAAGAGCGUGUAGGCGGAUAGAUAAGUCAGAAGUGAAAUCCAAUAGCUUAACUAUUGAACUGCUUUUGAAACUGUCUAUCUAGAGUAUGGGAGAGGUAGAUGGAAUUUCUGGUGUAGGGGUAAAAUCCGUAGAGAUCAGAAGGAAUACCGAUUGCGAAGGCGAUCUACUGGAACAUAACUGACGCUGAGACGCGAAAGCGUGGGGAGCAAACAGGAUUAGAUACCCUGGUAGUCCACGCCCUAAACGAUGUACACUAGUUGUUGCUAUGCUCGACAUAGCAGUAAUGCAGUUAACACAUUAAGUGUACCGCCUGGGGAGUACGGUCGCAAGAUUAAAACUCAAAGGAAUAGACGGGGACCCGCACAAGCGGUGGAGCAUGUGGUUUAAUUCGACGAUACGCGAAGAACCUUACCUGGUCUUGACAUAGUAAGAACCAUUUAGAGAUAGAUGGGUGUCUGCUUGCAGAAACUUAUAUACAGGUGCUGCACGGCUGUCGUCAGCUCGUGUCGUGAGAUGUUGGGUUAAGUCCCGCAACGAGCGCAACCCUCGUCAUUAGUUGCUAACACUUCGGGUGAGAACUCUAAUGAGACUGCCUACGCAAGUAGGAGGAAGGUGAGGACGACGUCAAGUCAUCAUGGCCCUUACGACCAGGGCUACACACGUGCUACAAUGGGGUAUACAAAGAGCAGCGAUACAGUGAUGUGGAGCAAAUCUAAAAAAUACCUCCCAGUUCGGAUUGUAGUCUGCAACUCGACUACAUGAAGUUGGAAUCGCUAGUAAUCGUAGAUCAGCAAUGCUACGGUGAAUACGUUCCCGGGUCUUGUACUCACCGCCCGUCACACCAUGGGAGUUGAUUUCACUCGAAGCGGGGAUGCUAAGAUAGCUACCC